UCAAUCUCUCUCUGCUGGAAGUUGAGGUUAACCUCACGAGAGUUUAGGUCAUCGACCUCGCCGACUCCACAGCCUCCUCAUCUCUCUUUGGCCUCUCUUUGCAGGAGAUCAAGAUAAACAAGAUGGUUGUAGGCAGAGUUUUUGUUCCUAACAAGACGUUGGUCUCCUCUCCCAAGUUUCCAACAGGUUGUUUUCCUCUCCCAAGUUCCCAACAAACAAGAAGGCGUGCUCUCCUCUCCCAGGUCAAAAUGUGUGCUCUCUCUGAUCCUCUCCACUCCACGCCACACCAUCUCUCUCAUAUUACAAAGUACUUGGAAUUUCAAGCCAUGAAAUGAUUGCAAGAAGAAAUAAAGCAAAUCAGAAGGUGAAUAAAGGGCAACGGAGUUGGUCAUCUACAGACAGUGGCAGGCGAUGGCAGCCAACGGUGG